rnacentral:lncRNA from 1 species
CCUCUUUCCAAGGCCAGCAUCGCCUUCCUCUCCGCUCACUCCCGCUACUAUCUCUCUCUCAUUAACCACCUCCACCACCUCGCCGUCGCUAUCACCUGUACCCUCAAGCUCUCUCUCUCUCUCUAGCUCUCGAGCUCUCUAAGAUCUCAGAAGAUUUCAAUCUGGCAACACAUCCUCUACAACAGGUUUUAAUCUGAAUUAAUCGCGUUAAUGAUGGGUGGAGAUUUGGGGAUACCUGCAUUCCCUGAAGAAGACUGCAUUCUUCAAGAGUGAGAUUCGGAGGAGGUUGUUUGUGAUGGCAGUACUGAUCAAUUGUGAUUAGUCGUGUUGGUUAUUUCAUUCCUCUGCCUGGGUUUGAUAGAAGGUUAAUACCUCAGGAUCAGUUGAUGAGCUCGGUGAUUUUACAGCUGAGCUUAAAAUGUCCUUGUUCCAGCUUGGAAUCAGUCCUCAAAUUAUAGCAUCGAUUAUAAUCACUCCUCCCUCUCUCUCUCUCGUCUGUGCUUUUCUCUCUUGUCUAAUGAACUAGACGAAUGCAAUAGCUAAACAAGGUUCUUUUGCUAAAGGCUAGGAACCAGUAUACUUGGAAAGGGUUUGGGGCAAUCCCUAAUGCUUUACAGGAGCUAAAG